UACGUAGGGGGCGAGCGUUGUCCGGAAUCAUUGGGCGUAAAGCGCGUGUAGGCGGUCCGGUAAGUCCGCUGUGAAAGUCGGGGGCUCAACCCUCGGAUGCCGGUGGAUACUGUCGGGCUUGAGUACGGAAGAGGCGAGUGGAAUUCCUGGUGUAGCGGUGAAAUGCGCAGAUAUCAGGAGGAACACCAAUUGCGAAGGCAGCUCGCUGGGACGUUACUGACGCUGAGGCGCGAAAGCGUGGGGAGCGAACCGG
rnacentral:rRNA from 1 species